UACGUAGGGGGCAAGCGUUGUCCGGAAUUAUUGGGCGUAAAGGGCGCGUAGGCGGCCCGGUAAGUCAAAGGUGAAAUCCCUCGGCUCAACUGAGGAACUGCCUUUGAAACUGUCGGGCUUGAGGCCGGGAGGGGGUAGCGGAAUUCCCAGUGUAGCGGUGAAAUGCGUAGAUAUUGGGAGGAACACCGGUGGCGAAGGCGGCUACCUGGACCGGUUCUGACGCUGAUGCGCGAAAGCGUGGGUAGCAAACAGG
rnacentral:rRNA from 1 species